UACGUAGGGCGCAAGCGUUGUCCGGAAUUAUUGGGCGUAAAGAGCUCGUAGGCGGUUUGUCGCGUCUGCUGUGAAAUCCCGAGGCUCAACCUCGGGCCUGCAGUGGGUACGGGCAGACUUGAGUGGUGUAGGGGAGACUGGAAUUCCUGGUGUAGCGGUGGAAUGCGCAGAUAUCAGGAGGAACACCGAUGGCGAAGGCAGGUCUCUGGGCACUUACUGACGCUGAGGAGCGAAAGCGUGGGGAGCGAACAGG
rnacentral:rRNA from 1 species